UUUGACAGUCAUCCUGUUCUGCAUGUGUGUUUGAAGGAAGAUGUUCUGAGCUUACUGGAAACCUUCCAGUUGGACACAAGGUUGCUUCAUCACCUGUGUGGGCAUUCCAAGAUUCACCAGGACACGAGACUCACCCAACAUGUGCCUCUGCUCAAAAAGACCCUGGAACUGUUAGUUUGCAGAGUCAAAGCUAUGCUCACCCUCAACAAUUGUAGAGAGGCUUUCUGGCUGGGCAAUCUAAAAAACCGGGACUUGCAGGGUGAAGAGAUUAAGUCCCAAAAUUCCCAGGAGAGCACAGCAGAUGAGAGUGAGGAUGACAUGUCAUCCCAGGCCUCCAAGAGCAAAGCUACUGAGGAUGGUGAAGAAGACGAAGUAAGUGCUGGAGAAAAGGAGCAAGUUAGUGAUGAGAGUUACGAUGACUCUGAGUAGACCCCAGAUAAAUUGUUGCC
rnacentral:sRNA from 1 species